AAGCCCCGGAGCCUUUUGGGGCUCAUCCUCAAACUUGCAAUUUGAUGUGUUCUCACCACGAAGCU
rnacentral:tRNA from 1 species